GUUUUGAAGAUAAAGUUUGGUUAGAGUUUUCUUCGAACAUUAUUUCUUGGUUUUUAUAUUUGUUUUAUUAUUUUGCGUACGCUUUACAGUUUUAGUGCAUUUAAAAUGUGGACCAAUCACAUUUAAAAACCUCAUACUUUAUGUAUAGUUUUUAUGUCAAGUCCACAUUUAUGCAUACAAGAAUGUCAUUGUUCUUGUGAAGUUGGUUCAUCCCAGUCUUCCCAUCAUUUGCUGGGUUUAGAAUUUUAUUUGCAAGACAUUAUAUUAAGAGUAGAAUAUGAAACUCCCGAGCACAUUGCUUCAACAUCCCAAGAUAUGAUAUAGAAUAAGCCACGUGGGACAAAAGUAAUUCCUGAAGAUGCAAGGUAUCUCACAUUCCAAAAACCUACAAAUAUUUUGAGAAGGAAGGCCCCCGUUGUAACAAAAAUUGCUAUUCAUAGCACUUCUGCGAUGUUGAAUGAAGAUACAGAUGAUUUGCCCACAAAAUUACAGAAAUUAGAGAGAAGAGAACCUUUUUAAAAGAUUGAUAAGGGCAUACCUUUAUCUUUUUUUAUUUCUACAGAGAAGACCAAUCCAGAAAUUACUAUUUUUGGUCAACAAAAUAGGGGAGGGAAAGAUUUUGCUAAUGAUGAUAUGCCAGUUAAUCUACCCAUAUUAAAUACUAUCACUAGAAAUAUUUUAAUUAGCUGCCCUCCACAAGGGAACCAUUUUCAUGAAUUUUCGUUUGGUGAAGCUCUACAACUGGAAAGGCGCACACUACAAGGAGAUAAUGGCAAAUAUGGUGGUGUAUUUAAGAAA
rnacentral:lncRNA from 1 species